UGGGGAAUAUUGCACAAUGGGCGCAAGCCUGAUGCAGCCAUGCCGCGUGUAUGAAGAAGGCCUUCGGGUUGUAAAGUACUAUCAGCGAGGAGGAAGGCGUUGUGGUUAAUAACCGCAACGAUUGACGUUACUCGCAGAAGAAGCACCGGCUAACUCCGUGCCAGCAGCCGCGGUAAUACGGAGGGUGCAAGCGUUAAUCGGAAUUACUGGGCGUAAAGCGCACGCAGGCGGUCUGUCAAGUCGGAUGUGAAAUCCCCGGGCUCAACCUGGGAACUGCAUCCGAAACUGGCAGGCUAGAGUCUUGUAGAGGGGGGUAGAAUUCCAGGUGUAGCGGUGAAAUGCGUAGAGAUCUGGAGGAAUACCGGUGGCGAAGGCGGCCCCCUGGACAAAGACUGACGCUCAGGUGCGAAAGCGUGGGGAGCAAACA
rnacentral:rRNA from 1 species